AACGAACGCUGGCGGCGUGCCUAACACAUGCAAGUCGAACGCGAAAAGCAGUAAUGCUGAGUAGAGUGGCGCACGGGUGAGUAACACGUAAAUGACAUGUCCUUGAGACGAGGAUAACCAGCCGAAAGGCUAGCUAAUACUCGGUAAGCCCACGUCCUUGGGGAUGAGGGAAAAGGGUAGGGACCUUUCGAGGCCUAUCGCUUGAGGGGUGGUUUGCGGCCCAUCAGGUAGUUGGCGAGGUAAAAGCUCACCAAGCCUAAGACGGGUAACGGGUCUGAGAGGAUGAUCCGUCACACUGGAACUGAGACACGGUCCAGACUCCUACGGGAGGCAGCAGUGGGGAAUCUUGCGCAAUGGGAGCAAUCCUGACGCAGCAACGCCGCGUGGGUGAUGAAGGUCUUCGGAUCGUAAAGCCCUGUCGGAGGGGAAGAUGCCUGUAACGUCUAAUAGAUGAGACAGGUGACGGUACCCUCAAAGGAAGCACCGGCUAACUCUGUGCCAG
rnacentral:rRNA from 1 species